UCAGCCUCUUUGUUGAGGAAAAAAGGUGCAUCUUAUACUCCGAAAAAUAUGGUAAGUUCUGCAGUUUUCCAUGAAGCCAAAAAUCUCUUAAAAUAAUUUAUCAAAUUUAGGCACUAUCCAUCUUUCAUCAAGGUUGUUUUAUAGUAAAGCAAAGUAAAAUCAGUUCAGAUUAUCCGUAUCCGUCCCUGCCACCAUAUAGGAGUCACAUCUUUAAAUCAGUCCCAUCUUUUCUUGGUAUUAUAUGACUGUUGCUGCCAAAGGCCCGGAAUAUAUACUCCUUUACAGGAGCUCCUGGCAAGCGUGUCAUAUUCAUAGUUCCAGUCAGUUUUUCCUCUUUGAAUCUAAAUUGCUGCAUACCCCAGUAUCUUAUUCAAGUGUUCGCACCAUAUAUUUAAAAAUUGAGAUUAUAAUCUUACAUUUGCCUUUAGUAUGUUAUUUGAAAAAAAUACCUAUGUAAAUAAUAGAUAUUUCCUUAAGCAUUCUGUGUGCUGUCCCAUUCAUGUGGUGUAUAAUCAUGCUGCAGUAUAUAUUCUCAGGAAUUUAUGUAUAGUAACAGGAUGAAUGGUAUGCACAGAAUACUUAUGCAAAUAUACUAAACCCUCAAUUUAGGAAAGUGAUAGGGUAGAAAGUUUGUCUCAAAAAGAAUAUUUAUUAAAUCCAAAUGAAAGUUUAUGUGCGUAAUAUGUGAAUGGGACUUUACACAUUUUAUACAUGGACAAAGUAGCAAAUAAGAAUUUAAAUCUGCACAAAGGCUAACUGUACAGUAUAUAGAUUUGGUGCGUUGCAUCUGAACUCUACUAAACCAGGAUCUGUUAAAUGUACACUACGACCAGAAUAAUUAAACCCCAAAUUUAUUACUUUUAGAAAAGGGAAUCUUGUUAAUUCCAAAAUGUCAUAACUGCAGAUAUAUGCAAUUGACAUUUUUAUAGUUUUAUAAUUUAUGUAUGUUUAUAUAAGUUUACAUAGUUAUUAGAAUAACAUCAAUUAUGUAAUUACACCAAUGAUGUAAAUUGCUGUUUCAGAAACAGUGGACCUGGGGUCUACCAUUUAGUCUGUUAUAUCCAAGUUUGUUUAAUGAGUGUCCAGAAAAUCAGGAGUUUUAGUAUACAGAUGGUGGAUGUUAGCGAUUUAGACUUCUAACUGCUUCAGAUUUCAUUUUCCAUUAGUUUGAAUUGAUUGAAUCCGAUUGACUGUGGAUUAUCAUCCAGACUAUAGAACGUCUAGAAUUUGUUUGCAUAAAACACCUAAAUCAAGUCUUAAUAGCUAGAAAUGGAUUUUAUUGGUGAAAAAUAUUAUAACUAAUAUUCUCACUUAAUAGGCUCUGGCCAUAGAUCCCACAAAUACUAAAGCACUUUAUAGAAAGGCCCAAGCUUGGGAAGGAACGAAAGAGUACAAUAAGGCAUUGGUUGAGCUUCAUAAGGCUCAAGACCUAGCACCUCAGGAUAAAGCCAUCCAAAUGGAAGUACAGAAAGUCAAGCAGAAAAUUAAAAAUGAGAAGGAAAAAGAGAGGGCAGCAUAUGCAAAAAUGUUUGCAU